rnacentral:rRNA from 1 species
GACGAACGCUGGCGGCGUGCUUAACACAUGCAAGUCGAACGGUGAAGCUCCAGCUUGCUGGAGUGGAUCAGUGGCGAACGGGUGAGUAACAUGUGAGCAACCUGCCCCUGACUCUGGAAUAAGCGCUGGAAACGGCGUCUAAUACUGGAUACGAGAAGGGUCCGCAUGGGCACUUUCUGGAAAGUUUUUCGGUUGGGGAUGGGCUCGCGGCCUAUCAGCUUGUUGGUGAGGUAAUGGCUCACCAAGGCGACGACGGGUAGCCGGCCUGAGAGGGCGACCGGCCACACUGGGACUGAGACACGGCCCAGACUCCUACGGGAGGCAGCAGUGGGGAAUAUUGCACAAUGGGCGAAAGCCUGAUGCAGCGACGCCGCGUGAGGGAUGACGGCCUUCGGGUUGUAAACCUCUUUCAGCAGGGAAGAAGCGAAAGUGACGGUACCUGCAGAAGAAGCACCGGCUAACUACGUG